UACAUGGGGUGCAAACGUUGCUCGGAAUUAUUGGGCGUAAAGCGCGCGUAGGCGGUUACUUAAGUCGGAUGUGAAAGCCCUCGGCUUAACUGAGGAAGUGCACCCGAAACUGAGUAGCUAGAGUACGAAAGAGGGUCGCGGAAUUCCCGGUGUAGAGGUGAAAUUCGCAGAUAUCAGGAAGAACACCUAUGACGAAGGCAGCUCGCUGGAACGGUACUGACGCUGAGGCGCGAAAGCGUGGGGAGCGAACAGG
rnacentral:rRNA from 1 species